AGUGAACGCUGGCGGUAGGCCUAACACAUGCAAGUCGAACGGCAGCACAGUAAGAGCUUGCUCUUACGGGUGGCGAGUGGCGGACGGGUGAGGAAUACAUCGGAAUCUACUUUUUCGUGGGGGAUAACGUAGGGAAACUUACGCUAAUACCGCAUACGACCUACGGGUGAAAGCAGGGGAUCUUCGGACCUUGCGCGAUUGAAUGAGCCGAUGUCGGAUUAGCUAGUUGGCGGGGUAAAGGCCCACCAAGGCGACGAUCCGUAGCUGGUCUGAGAGGAUGAUCAGCCACCCUGGAACUGAGACACGGUCCAGACUCCUACGGGAGGCAGCAGUGGGGAAUAUUGGACAAUGGGCGAAAGCCUGAUCCAGCCAUACCGCGUGGGUGAAGAAGGCCUUCGGGUUGUAAAGCCCUUUUGUUGGGAAAGAAAAGCAGCAGGUUAAUACCCCGCUGUUCUGACGGUACCCAAAGAAUAAGCACCGGCUAACUUCGUG
rnacentral:rRNA from 1 species